CUAUAUUUGCCCCGAAUUGGUUUUCUCCGUCUCUCCCGGGACGGGGAAUGAAGAGGGAAUCGGGUGUGAAUCCCGGACUGUCCCGCAGCUGUGAUGCUCCGUAACGUCCUGAACGUCUUUACCACUGGCCGAAUCCGGGCCGGGAAGGUAUCGGGACGGGAGCGAGUCAGAAGACCUGCCGGUUCGUUUUACGUUUU
rnacentral:ncRNA from 2 species